CACUAUCGUUAACUGAAUACAUAGGUUAACGAGGCGAACCGGGGGAACUGAAACAUCUAAGUACCCCGAGGAAAAGAAAUCAACCGAGAUUCCCCCAGUAGCGGCGAGCGAACGGGGAGCAGCCCAGAGUCUGAAUCAGCUUGUGUGUUAGUGGAACGGUCUGGAAAGUCCGACGGUACAGGGUGAUAGUCCCGUACACCAAAAUGCACAGGCUGUGAACUCGAAGAGUAGGGCGGGACACGUGGUAUCCUGUCUGAAUAUGGGGGGACCAUCCUCCAAGGCUAAAUACUCCUGACUGACCGAUAGUGAACCAGUACCGUGAGGGAAAGGCGAAAAGAACCCCGGCGAGGGGAGUGAAAAAGAACCUGAAACCGUGUACGUACAAGCAGUGGGAGCACCUUCGGGUGUGACUGCGUACCUUUUGUAUAAUGGGUCAGCGACUUAUAUUCUGUAGCAAGGUUAACCGUAUAGGGGAGCCGCAGGGAAACCGAGUCUUAACUGGGCGUUAAGUUGCAGGGUAUAGACCCGAAACCCGGUGAUCUAGCCAUGGGCAGGUUGAAGGUUGGGUAACACUAACUGGAGGACCGAACCGACUAAUGUUGAAAAAUUAGCGGAUGACUUGUGGCUGGGGGUGAAAGGCCAAUCAAACCGGGAGAUAGCUGGUUCUCCCCGAAAGCUAUUUAGGUAGCGCCUCGUGAAUUCAUCUUCGGGGGUAGAGCACUGUUUCGGCUAGGGGGUCAUCCCGACUUACCAACCCGAUGCAAACUACGAAUACCGAAGAAUGUUAUCACGGGAGACACACGGCGGGUGCUAACGUCCGUCGUGAAGAGGGAAACAACCCAGACCGCCAGCUAAGGUCCCAAAGUCAUGGUUAAGUGGGAAACGAUGUGGGAAGGCACAGACAGCCAGGAUGUUGGCUUAGAAGCAGCCAUCAUUUAAAGAAAGCGUAAUAGCUCACUGGUCGAGUCGGCCUGCGCGGAAGAUGUAACGGGGCUAAACCAUGCACCGAAGCUGCGGCAGCGACACUAUGUGUUGUUGGGUAGGGGAGCGUUCUGUAAGCCUGCGAAGGUGACCUGUGAGGGUUGCUGGAGGUAUCAGAAGUGCGAAUGCUGACAUAAGUAACGAUAAAGCGGGUGAAAAGCCCGCUCGCCGGAAGACCAAGGGUUCCUGUCCAACGUUAAUCGGGGCAGGGUGAGUCGACCCCUAAGGCGAGGCCGAAAGGCGUAGUCGAUGGGAAACAGGUUAAUAUUCCUGUACUUGGUGUUACUGCGAAGGGGGGACGGAGAAGGCUAUGUUAGCCGGGCGACGGUUGUCCCGGUUUAAGCAUGUAGGCUGGUUGUCCAGGCAAAUCCGGAUAAUCAAGGCUGAGGUGUGAUGACGAGGUACUACGGUGCUGAAGUAACAAAUGCCCUGCUUCCAGGAAAAGCCUCUAAGCAUCAGGUAACAUCAAAUCGUACCCCAAACCGACACAGGUGGUCAGGUAGAGAAUACCAAGGCGCUUGAGAGAACUCGGGUGAAGGAACUAGGCAAAAUGGUGCCGUAACUUCGGGAGAAGGCACGCUGGUGUGUAGGUGAAGUCCCUGCGGAUGGAGCUGAGACCAGUCGAAGAUACCAGCUGGCUGCAACUGUUUAUUAAAAACACAGCACUGUGCAAACACGAAAGUGGACGUAUACGGUGUGACGCCUGCCCGGUGCCGGAAGGUUAAUUGAUGGGGUUAUCCGUAAGGAGAAGCUCUUGAUCGAAGCCCCGGUAAACGGCGGCCGUAACUAUAACGGUCCUAAGGUAGCGAAAUUCCUUGUCGGGUAAGUUCCGACCUGCACGAAUGGCGUAAUGAUGGCCAGGCUGUCUCCACCCGAGACUCAGUGAAAUUGAACUCGCUGUGAAGAUGCAGUGUACCCGCGGCAAGACGGAAAGACCCCGUGAACCUUUACUAUAGCUUGACACUGAACAUUGAGCCUUGAUGUGUAGGAUAGGUGGGAGGCUUUGAAGCGUGGACGCCAGUCUGCGUGGAGCCAACCUUGAAAUACCACCCUUUAAUGUUUGAUGUUCUAACGUUGGCCCCUGACCGGGGUUGCGGACAGUGUCUGGUGGGUAGUUUGACUGGGGCGGUCUCCUCCCAAAGCGUAACGGAGGAGCACGAAGGUUAGCUAAUCCUGGUCGGACAUCAGGAGGUUAGUGCAAUGGCAUAAGCUAGCUUGACUGCGAGCGUGACGGCGCGAGCAGGUGCGAAAGCAGGUCAUAGUGAUCCGGUGGUUCUGAAUGGAAGGGCCAUCGCUCAACGGAUAAAAGGUACUCCGGGGAUAACAGGCUGAUACCGCCCAAGAGUUCAUAUCGACGGCGGUGUUUGGCACCUCGAUGUCGGCUCAUCACAUCCUGGGGCUGAAGUAGGUCCCAAGGGUAUGGCUGUUCGCCAUUUAAAGUGGUACGCGAGCUGGGUUUAGAACGUCGUGAGACAGUUCGGUCCCUAUCUGCCGUGGGCGCUGGAGAAUUGAGGGGGGCUGCUCCUAGUACGAGAGGACCGGAGUGGACGCAUCACUGGUGUUCGGGUUGUCAUGCCAAUGGCACUGCCCGGUAGCUAAAUGCGGAAGAGAUAAGUGCUGAAAGCAUCUAAGCACGAAACUUGCCCCGAGAUGAGUUCUCCCUGAGACUUUAAGUCUCCUGAAGGAACGUUGAAGACGACGACGUUGAUAGGCCGGGUGUGUAAGCGCAGCGAUGCGUUGAGCUAACCGGUACUAAUGAACCGUGAGGCUUAACCUUACAACGCCGAAG
rnacentral:rRNA from 1 species